UACGUAGGGUGCAAGGCGUUGUCCGGAAUUAUUGGGCGUAAAGAGCUCGUAGGUGGCCUGUCGCGUCGGCUGUGAAAACUCGGGGCUCAACUCCGAGCUUGCAGUCGAUACGGGCAGGCUAGAGUUCGGCAGGGGAGACUGGAAUUCCUGGUGUAGCGGUGAAAUGCGCAGAUAUCAGGAGGAACACCGGUGGCGAAGACGGGUCUCUGGGCCGAUACUGACACUGAGGAGCGAAAGCGUGGGGAGCGAACAGG
rnacentral:rRNA from 1 species